AAUUAUAUAACCGAAUUAAAAGAAAAUAAUUUAAAAAUCAAAUUAAAUUAUGAAUUGAUAUAUUGGAGUUCCAAAUUAAAAAAAGAAAGGGAUCGUAUAUAUGAUAUAGUUGAAAAUAAUUCUAUUAUUAUUGACUUAUUUGCAGGAGUGGGUAUAUUUAGUUUAUUGCUAAGCAAAAAAAGUUGUAUAUGUUUUUCGAAUGACAUUAAUGAACAUGCUUAUAAUUAUAUGAAUAUAAAUAUUGAAGCAAAUAAAAAAAAAAUAUAUUUACUUACAAUUUAGAUGCUAGAAAAUUUGUAGAAAAAUUAAUUGAAUUAAAUAUUUUUACAGAAAACGAAAAUAUAUUAACCAUGUAUAUAGAUGAACAAAAUAAAAAAAAUACAUCUGAAAAGGUACUUAACAGUAUAGAUCAUAACAUUUAUCAAAAAAAUAAUAAAAUAUAUAAUGAGAAAAAAAAAAAAAAAGAAAGUUUAAAAAAACGAAUUAACAAUAACACAGAAAUAAAUGAUCAUUUACAAAAUGACCCAACAAAAUUUGAUGAUGAUCAAAUGUUAAUAAAUAAUAUAAACAAAAAUAAUAAUAUAUUCACUAAUAUUACGAAUGGUGAUAGUGAGAGCAAAUAUGAUAUACAUAAGAGUAAUUUACAUAUGGAUACAUAUAACAAUAUAACCACUAAUAAUAAUAUAAAAUUGAAAGAACAAAAUAUAUCAAACAAACAUAUAUCAGUUACAAACUAUAACUUAUGUAAUAAUAUUAGCCACGAAAAUAAUACUUAUUCAAAUGGUACAAGUGAUGAUAGUAAUAGUAUAACUGCUGAUAUACCAAAAAUUAAUAAAAACAAAGAAUUAUUUAAAAUAAAUAUAAACCUUAACAUUUAUAAUGACAUACAUGUGUUAAUGAAUUUACCACAAAACUCUUUACAUUUUCUUGAUGUAUUUAAAAAAUUAAAAUAUGAAAAUAAACAAUUAAGAAAUAUUUUUAUUCAUUGUUAUUACUUUUCCAAACCGGAAUUUUUUUAUGAACAUGCAGAAAAAAAUAUUUUGUUACAUUUUCAGAUGCUUCCUAAGCA
rnacentral:lncRNA from 1 species